GGGAAUGCCUGUAGUCCCAGCUACUUGGGAGGCUGAGGCUGGAGGAUCGCUUGAGCCCAGGAGUUCUGGGCUGUAGUACGCUAUGCCGAUCGGAUGUCCGCACUAAGUUCGGUGUCAAUACGGUGACCUCCCGGGAGUAGGGGACCACCGGGUUGCCGGAGGAGGGGAGCUCUGA